rnacentral:rRNA from 1 species
ACGAACGCUGGCGGCGUGCUUAACACAUGCAAGUCGAACGGAAAGGCCCUGCGUUUGUGGGGUGCUCGAGUGGCGAACGGGUGAGUAACACGUGAGUAACCUGCCCUUGACUUUGGGAUAACUUCAGGAAACUGGGGCUAAUACCGGAUAGGAGCUCCUGCUGCAUGGUGGGGGUUGGAAGUUUCGGCGGUUGGGGAUGGACUCGCGGCUUAUCAGCUUGUUGGUGGGGUAGUGGCUUACCAAGGCUUUGACGGGUAGCCGGCCUGAGAGGGUGACCGGCCACAUUGGGACUGAGAUACGGCCCAGACUCCUACGGGAGGCAGCAGUGGGGAAUAUUGCACAAUGGGCGGAAGCCUGAUGCAGCAACGCCGCGUGCGGGAUGACGGCCUUCGGGUUGUAAACCGCUUUCGCCUGUGACGAAGCGUGAGUGACGGUAAUGGGUAAAGAAGCACCGGCUAACUACGUG